GGAGAGUCAGCGCCGACACCGGCAGCCUCCGGUGGGUGGUUGGCAGCAGGCGCCUCUCCCGGCAGUAGCUGCAGGAAAGGAAGGCCGGAGUGAGUUACCAUUUCCCGGCCCCCCGUUUGCCGCUAGGAAGGCAGCCAAGGGGCAGGAGGGGGGAGUUGCCACUUCAUCUUUAAGCAACACAUUGAACGGCUUGACUACUGCUAGAAAUUGUCCCUCAAGAUUGCGCAGCCCACAACCUUGAUCCAGUCUUCCCAAAGAGCCACUCCCUGCACCUCUCUACAUCCAGGUUGGAUAACUAAGCAGAACCCACUGAACCAUUUCCCAGCAGACUCAACAUCUGCUAAAAGGGUGACAGAAGAAGUGAUCUGUAUAGACUACAAAUGUUGUUUAAAAUGCUUCAUGUAAAAGGAAGACAGAG